rnacentral:rRNA from 1 species
UUGUUGGAGAGUUUGAUCCUGGCUCAGGACGAACGCUGGCGGCGUGCUUAACACAUGCAAGUCGAACGCUGAAGCACCUUCGGGUGUGGAUGAGUGGCGAACGGGUGAGUAACACGUGGGUAAUCUGCCCUGCACUCUGGGAUAAGCCUUGGAAACGAGGUCUAAUACCGGAUAUCACAACUCUGGGCAUCCAGGGUUGUUGAAAGUUCUGGCGGUGCAGGAUGAACCCGCGGCCUAUCAGCUUGUUGGUGGGGUAAUGGCCUACCAAGGCGACGACGGGUAGCCGGCCUGAGAGGGUGACCGGCCACACUGGGACUGAGACACGGCCCAGACUCCUACGGGAGGCAGCAGUGGGGAAUAUUGCACAAUGGGCGCAAGCCUGAUGCAGCGACGCCGCGUGAGGGAUGACGGCCUUCGGGUUGUAAACCUCU